rfam:TPA: Bos taurus chromosome 19, whole genome shotgun sequence.
UCCCUGGUGGCCCAGGCGGUAAAGCAUCUGCCUGCAAUGCAGGAGACCUGGGUUUGAUCCUUGGUUUGGGAA